UGUGUACUCCCUCCAUUCCAAAAUACAUGACUUCCAUUUGUCCAAAAAUGGAUGUACCUAUAUACUAAAACAUGUCUAGAUACAUCUAUAUUUUGACAAAUAGAAGGCAUGUUUUAUGAAACAGAGGGAGUAGAAU
rfam:Triticum aestivum genome assembly, contig: Triticum_aestivum_CS42_TGACv1_scaffold_407150_5BL